CGGACGGGUGAGUAACGCGUGAGAAUCUGCCCUCAGGAGGGGGAUAACAGUUGGAAACGACUGCUAAUACCCCAUAUGCCGAGAGGUGAAAUGAAUUUCGCCUGGGGAUGAGCUCGCGUCUGAUUAGCUUGUUGGUGGGGUAACAGCCUACCAAGGCCUCGAUCAGUAGCUGGUCUGAGAGGACGAUCAGCCACACUGGGACUGAGACACGGCCCAGACUCCUACGGGAGGCAGCAGUGGGGAAUUUUCCGCAAUGGGCGAAAGCCUGACGGAGCAACGCCGCGUGAGGGAUGAAGGCCUUUGGGCUGUAAACCUCUUUUCUCAAGGAAGAAGAUCUGACGGUACUUGAGGAAUAAGCCACGGCUAAUUCCGUGCCAGCAGCCGCGGUAAUACGGAGUGGCAAGCGUUAUCCGGAAUUAUUGGGCGUAAAGCGUCCGCAGGCGGCCGUUUAAGUCUGUUGUUAAAUCGUGGAGCUCAACUCCAUCACGGCAACGGAAACUGUUCGGCUUGAGUAUGGUAGGGGCAGAGGGAAUUUCCGGUGUAGCGGUGAAAUGCGUAGAUAUCGGGAAGAACACCAGUGGCAAAAGCGCUCUGCUGGGCCAUUACUGACGCUCAUGGACGAAAGCCAGGGGAGCGAAAGGGAUUAGAUACCCCUGUAGUC
rnacentral:rRNA from 1 species